UUGACUCGCUAGGUGAACACUUCUACAACCUAUGUUCAUGGGAGGUAGGCUUUUGUAUUAGGUAUGGCAAGAGCGGAUUGAAUGCCUGAGUUGGCUGAACUUUUGUGCUGAAUUGUGUACUCUUAUUAUGCAGAUCAGAACAGAGCCAUGGAGGACGCUAUCAAUAAAGUGUUCCCGGAUACUUCCAUAGUUACAUGAAAAUGUUCAGAAUGCACGCGGACCUUCUCAAUUUUGGAUUUAGACUGGACUGCAAGAUUAGGGUACUGAGCCCGAAGGUAGUUUGCAAACUCCAUCGGUCCUAGUUCCAGGACAGGCGAAGCGAGAUUCAUAUUUGUGACUUGUGGGAGUGGUGGGUGAAUGCCGGC
rnacentral:lncRNA from 1 species